rnacentral:rRNA from 1 species
GAUGAACGCUGGCGGCGUGCUUAACACAUGCAAGUCGAACGGAAAGGUGAUGAUCUUGCGGGGUGCUCGAGUGGCGAACGGGUGAGUAAAACGUGAGUAAAAUGUACUUGAAAUUGGGAUAAAACCAGGAAAAUGGGGAUAAUACAGGAUAGGAGCUACUGCUGCACGGUGGGGGUUGGAAAGUUUCGGCGGUUGGGGAUGGACUCGCGGCUUAUCCGCUUGUUGGUGGGGUAGUGGAUUACCAAGGCUGUGACGGGUAGCCGGCCUGAGAGGUUGACCGGCCACAUGGGGACUGAGAUACGGCCCAGACUCCUACGGGAGGCAGCAGUGGAGAAUUUUGCACAGUGGGCGGAAGCCUGAUGCAACAACGCCGCGUGCGUAAUGACGUCCUUCGAGGUGUAAACCACUUUCUCCUGUGACGAAGCGUUAGUGACGGUAAUGGGUAAAGAAGCACCGGCUAACUACGUG